AUUAGUGGCCAUAGCAAAGGGGAUCACCUGAUACCAUUCCGAACUCAGUAGUUAAGCCCUUUAGCGCCGAAGAUACCAGAGAUGGGAAAAUAGGGAGCUUGCUUUUU
rnacentral:rRNA from 1 species